rnacentral:rRNA from 1 species
GAUGAACGCUGGCGGCGUGCUUAACACAUGCAAGUCGAACGAAGCAUUUAAGACAGAUUUCUUUGGGAUGAAGUUUUUUAUGACUGAGUGGCGGACGGGUGAGUAACGCGUGGGUAACCUGCCUCACACAGGGGGAUAGCAGUUGGAAACGACUGGUAAUACCGCAUAAGCACACAGCUUCGCAUGAAGCAGUGUGAAAAACUCCGGUGGUGUGAGAUGGACCCGCGUCUGAUUAGGUAGUUGGUGAGGUAACGGCCCACCAAGCGACGAUCAGUAGCCGACCUGAGAGGGUGACCGGCCACAUUGGGACUGAGACACGGCCCAGACUCCUACGGGAGGCAGGCAGUGGGGAAUAUUGCACAAUGGAGGAAACUCUGAUGCAGCGACGCCGCGUGAGCGAAGAAGUAUUU